rnacentral:lncRNA from 1 species
GACAGAGAACAAGAUAGAAAGUCCAAGGAGAAAGGCCAGAAGAUAAGAUUUUUGGACUACUAGUCCUCUACGGAGCAACAAGACGACCCUUCCUCAUUGAAGCUACCUGUGCGCUGGAGAAGCCCAUAAGGCUCAAAGGGAGGACUUUCCCACAAGAAAAGAAGGGAGCCGAUGAUAAAAAGAGUAGUGUGAAGUCCAGUAGUCGAGAAAAACAAAGUGAAGACACAAACCCUGAGUCGAAGGAAAGUGACACUAAGAGUGAGGUCAAUGGGACCAGUGAAGACAUAAAAUCUGAAGGUGACACUCAGUCCAAUUAAAACUGAUCUGAUAAGACCUCAGAUCACACAGAGGUAAGUGCACUGUUUCUCACUUUGAUUAGGGCUUUUUGUUACUGUUUGACAGUGCAGCGUAAGUAUGCACAGACGAAGACGGAGCUAAGCCGUGUAAGAAGACAUACAAAAGCCUCUUCUGAAGGAAAAGACAGUGUAGUCCUGCAAAACAUUUGGAGGUACAUUGUUUUGUCUCAGCUAUUUUGUAGCAGACUUCGUGCCCCCAUUAGUGUGCCUCUUUGGAAAUUACUGUCCACGUAUGUAAUGUAGUCGCCAUUGAAAGUUAACUAUCCUUUUUUUAGGGAUUUUGCUGUUAUUUCUUUUUUUUUUUUUUUAAAAGAAAAGGUUGAACUGUUUUUUUCUUUUUGGUAUUAAGUCCAUCUUGUGUUGGUACAUUGGCAG